UAUACUUUAGUAUAUGAUGUAUCUUAAUUUUUGAUAUUAAGGGAAAUAGUUUAAUCCUAUUAAGUAUAU
rnacentral:tRNA from 1 species